UUUUAGAAAACGCAGCUCUAGGGUCGAAUUUUGAGCUGCGUUUUCUCUAAACACAGCUUCAGGAUGCAGUUUGAGCUGUGUUUAUUAAACCCGACUAUAGACCAGCUCUGAAGCUGCGUUUUUUGAUGUUAGAGCUGCGUUUACCGGGUAGGAUUGAAGCUGCGUUUUCAAAAACGCAGCUUUAGUUCCAACCUGGGAUUUUUUUUUUUUUUUUUCAAUAUAUCUGAGAGCUGCGUUUAACAAACGCAGCUUCAAAACUUAUAGAGCUGCGUUGUUCUAAACGCAGCUCCAGACAUGUCAAAGCUGCGUCUAGAAGAAUGCAGCUCUAGCUAGUAAGUGGUAGAGCUGCGUUUAUUUGAACACAGCUCCAGACUCAUUUAUGCCGCAACUAGCCUUCCUAUAAAUUCAAAAAACCCCUAAAAUUUCAACCCAAUCAAUCCCUAAAUUGAAAAACACUCAGGAGACACUCAGUUGGAAGAGAUUCGUCAAAAGAGAGCAGCUGAGAGAUUGAUCAAAACUUCUUCCGGACCAGAUCUCACCCAACCUUCCUUUCACAAUGAUUUUGUUGGAAUGAAAAAAUCAGAGAGCGGAAAUCGACUCACAGAGGCCGAUGUUAGUGGUUUGGUAUCUCAGCUACAAGACCUACAGAGGAAGAAUGCAGAAUUGGAGGAAGAGAACAAUAAAUUGACUUCAAAGCUUCAAACUAGGGAAGCUGAGAAUGAUGUGCAACAAAAGCGUUUGACUAAUCUGGUUAAGAAUUUAACAGCUUGAUUUGGUUAUUGUGAAUUGGCUACUGCAAAUUUUUCUGGUCGACUGGUUCCACAACUUGGUCAGCUUUAAAAUCUGCAAUACUUGGCCUGUGAAACGAUCAUGUUUAUUGAAGGUGAACGAUCAGCAAUAAGACAGAUCGAUCCAAUAGGAUCAGGUGGGAACUUUGUGAUGUUUUUAUUUUGUGAUGUAAAAACCAAAGUUUGUUGGGAACUUUUAUUUUAUAUGUAAUUAUUUGGAUAUGUAAUUAAUCUUUUGGCAACGAACUUAAUUGUUUUGUUUAUGUAAAAUUAUCGUUUAUGUAAUUAAUAUUUUGGUAAUGAUUUGAUACUAUAUAGUAUCAAAUAUGCAAUUUGUUUUGUUGGUUCA